rnacentral:rRNA from 1 species
UACGGGGGGGGCAAGCGUUGUUCGGAAUUACUGGGCGUAAAGGGCGCGUAGGCGGCCUCUGCAAGUCGACUGUGAAAUCUCCGGGCUUAACCCGGAAAGGUCAGCCGAUACUGCAGGGCUAGAGUGCAGAAGGGGCAACUGGAAUUCUCGGUGUAGCGGUGAAAUGCGUAGAUAUCGAGAGGAACACCUGCGGCGAAGGCGGGUUGCUGGGCUGACACUGACGCUGACAGCGCGAAAGCUAGGGGAGCAAACGGG